rnacentral:lncRNA from 1 species
GUGAAAAGAGACCUUCUCUUAGGACAAAUGAUUCAUUCGCAUUGAGCGCAAAGAUCGAAAUGAUAAAGGCGUUGCCUUCAUCAAUCCCAAGCAUUGCACUGAUCUCUUGUUACCCCUUUGGGCUGGAAAAAAAAGAUGAUCCUUCAAAGUACCCCUAUCGAGAACGACCCUACAUUGGGGCAACAUAGGAGGUUACGGUCGUGUUGUAAAACGAAAG